UUGAACGCUGGCGGCAGGCCUAACACAUGCAAGUCGCGCGGAUGAAGGGAGCUUGCUCCUGGAUUCAGCGGCGGACGGGUGAGUAAUGCCUAGGAAUCUGUCUGGUAGUGGGGGAUAACGUCCGGAAACGGGCGCUAAUACCGCAUACGUCCUGAGGGAGAAAGUGGGGGAUCUUCGGACCUCACGCUAUCAGAUGAGCCUAGGUCGGAUUAGCUAGUUGGUGGGGUAAAGGCCUACCAAGGCGACGAUCCGUAACUGGUCUGAGAGGAUGAUCAGUCACACUGGAACUGAGACACGGUCCAGACUCCUACGGGAGGCAGCAGUGGGGAAUAUUGGACAAAGGGCGAAAGCCUGAUCCAGCCAUGCCGCGUGUGUGAAGAAGGUCUUCGGAUUGUAAAGCACUUUAAGUUGGGAGGAAGGGCAGUAAGUUAAUACCUUGCUGAUUUGACGUUACCAACAGAAUAAGCACCGGCUAACUUCGUG
rnacentral:rRNA from 1 species